UACGUAGGGGGCAAGCGUUGUCCGGAAUCAUUGGGCGUAAAGCGCGUGUAGGCGGCCAGGUAAGUCCGUUCUGAAAGCCCGGGGCUCAACCCCGGGAGGCGGAUGGAUACUGCUUGGCUCGAGUCCGGAAGAGGCGAGUGGAAUUCCCGGUGUAGCGGUGAAAUGCGCAGAUAUCGGGAGGAAUACCGGUGGUGUAGACGGCUCUCUGGACCGUAACUGACGCUGAGACACGAAAGCGUGGGUAGCAAACAGG
rnacentral:rRNA from 1 species